rnacentral:rRNA from 1 species
UGGGCGAAGCCUGAUCCAGCCAUGCCGCGUGUGUGAAGAAGGCCUUCGGGUUGUAAAGCACUUUCAGCGAGGAAGAACGCCUUGGGAUUAAUACUCCCGAGGAAAGACAUCACUCGCAGAAGAAGCACCGGCUAACUCCGUGCCAGCAGCCGCGGUAAUACGGAGGGUGCAAGCGUUAAUCGGAAUUACUGGGCGUAAAGCGCGCGUAGGUGGCUAAGUCAGCCAGGUGUGAAAGCCCCGGGCUCAACCUGGGAACGGCAUCUGGAACUGCUUGGCUAGAGUGCAGGAGAGGAAGGUAGAAUUCCCGGUGUAGCGGUGAAAUGCGUAGAGAUCGGGAGGAAUACCAGUGGCGAAGGCGGCCUUCUGGACUGACACUGACACUGAGGUGCGAAAGCGUGGGUAGCAAACAGGAUUAGAUACCCUGGUAGUCCACGCCGUAAACGAUGUCAACUAGCCGUUGGGUCCCUUGAGGACUUAGUGGCGCAGCUAACGCAAUAAGUUGACCGCCUGGGGAGUACGGCCGCAAGGUUAAAACUCAAAUGAAUUGACGGGGGCCCGCACAAGCGGUGGAGCAUGUGGUUUAAUUCGAUGCAACGCGAAGAACCUUACCUACCCUUGACAUCCAGAGGACUUUCCAGAGAUGGAUUGGUGCCUUCGGGAACUCUGAGACAGGUGCUGCAUGGCUGUCGUCAGCUCGUGUUGUGAAAUGUUGGGUUAACUCCCCCAACGAGCGCAACCCCUAUCCUUAUUUGCCAGCGAGUAAUGUCGGGAACUCUAAGGAGACUGCCGGUGACAAACCGGAAGGAAGGUGGGGACGACUCCAGUCAUCAUGGCUCUUA